UGGGACCCCCUGGCUAAAGACCGGGUCCCCUCUUCCCCAAGCGGCGAGUCAUCCCCCCCUGCUCCCCUCCCGCCCCCCCUCCACCUGCCACCCCCCGGCCUCGAAGAUCUGAGAGGCACCGAAUGGGAGGUGUUUGGAAGUGGACAGCCAUCGCCCUUCUGCCCCAGCGCCGGCACCAGCACGCUUCUCCAUCGCUAGACCCUUCCCUUGGCGCCUCGCUGCCUCCUUCAGACUGCUCUUUGCCCUCCCUCAUUAAACUUGGUUUCUGUGCGAAUGUGAUUUGAAUUAACUCUUGGGAGAAAAAUCACAGAAACCAGGAAAGGGGGGCCAUGGGGAGGGGGACAGUGAGUCAUAUUUCCAUGUGUAUUUUUCAAACUUUCCAAUGGGAGUUUGGAAAACAACACCCUUUGGGUUGCCAGCUUGGCCCUCCCUCUCCAGGGGUUCCUCAUUUGGUUUCUAUAGGUCUUAUCUUAAUGGCUGUGCCCAGUCCGCCCUUAGGGUCUGCUUUGUUUCCUGCGGUCCCCUACCCAUCUCCCUCUGGGCUAGCCUCAUGCUGUCAUAGGGGCACAAAGAAGUCCCUGCUAUCUCUAGUCCUUGCUCUGGUGUCACUGCACAAUGUCAGACCCUUCCAUCUACCCCCAUUUCAGGGUGGACCCACGGGGCCUGCAGCCAGUCUGGCCGGCCCUCCAGCCCUCUGGCCCUUGAGAACCUGUCAGCACCAGGCAGCCUGGGCUCCAUGAACUGGAGCUCCCCCCUCUCUGCCCCAGCAGCUUUCUCUUGUGCCCUUCCAUCUGUUUCUGCAUCCCAAUUUCCAGAGGGCCUGUGGCUGGGUGGUAAGAACCUAUCUUUCCCCAGGGAGAAGGCCUGCAGAGCAAAGAGCAGAGAUGAUACUCUGAGGAGGCUGGUAAAGAAGAAAACCUACUGUGUGUCCCUCCUGUAUGCUAGACACAUCUUGUGCCCUGAGAAGGGGUAUCAGGAUCCCCAUUUUGCAUUUGGAAACCGAGGCUCAGCCAGCUGAAUGGAUGGAAACCUUGAGGGUGCUGGAGGGGGAGAUGUGGAGGACAGCCACACCCCUGGCCAACUCCUUGCAGGCCCUGGGCCCUUGCACCCUCCCCAAAAGCUCCAUCUGCUUCCUUGGGGUCCUAGACUAACUGUCCCUCCCUGCCUCCAGCUUCUGACUAAUCCUUCCUGGCGGCAGUUGCCUGUCCAGCCCCACUGUGCCUAUGCCAGCGACAGCCCACAUCACAUGGGCCACAUCUGGCUGCAUUUGAGCACAUCUUCCCCUCCAUUGUCCCUCCUCUUCUCUACCCAGGGCCCAGAGCAGGGAGUGUACCCCUGAGGACCCCUCCUCUCUGGGUCCAUCAGCACGCCCACCCCUGCCCCUUUACAGCCUCUAACAGAGUCAUUCCUUUGCCUCCUCUCAGCCUCCUCGUCCCCCUUCCCAGCCUCCAUCUGCUGGACAUCUUGACUCCAUUCUUCAGCAACCCUUCCUUCCCUGUAUCCUGACUCUUCGGACCACCCUCCUUCCCAGCCCCUACUGAACAGCUGAUUGGGAAAGGUGCAUCUCGCAAGUGCAUUUGGAAGGAAGAGUCAUGGAGAGAGGCCCAGGAUGGGACACGGAGGAGGGCUCCUCUCCAAAGGCAUGGUCGUCAAGACAACUGCUCCUUCCACUGCCCAAACCACCUCUCAGACUCAACCACUAUAUUCUGAUACGACUCAUUAAAUGCUUCAGCUCCCGGUC